GUGCAGUUACUUUCAAUCAAAUUGAUGAUCUCUGAAGCUAAGUUUUUGAAGGGGGUCAGCUCAACCCAAAUUUGUUUUCAUACUCAAAACUGACAAGAAUCAUAAGUCGUUGAAAUGCUUUGUGGAAAGAGUUGGGAAUUAUCUCCAUAAUAAUGUGUGAGAGAGAGAGAGAUCCUGACAAGUGAGAACAUGUACACCACAUCCAGCUCCAUCAAAGUACAGCAAAUCUUGUAGAUUAUGAAGGAGAAAGAAGGAUACGAAGGGACAACCAGCCAGUAACCCCUUUUUUCUCAGCACUGUCACACAAGCCAUGCUUGCAAGUUGCGAACAAUGCAUGAAUUGAUUCAAGUGCAGAAAAGCAUGACCCGUCAUCCCUUUUGAGCCUGCAGAGAGUUCUAAAACAUGGUUUUUGUUUUAUUCAAGAGACUUGUUUGGAUGCUUCGGAUUACAAUGCUCGCCUAAUUCCUUGUAGAGAGAAUAAAAUUCCUGCUACAUUUGGU